rnacentral:rRNA from 1 species
UACGUAGGUGGCAAGCGUUGUCCGGAUUUACUGGGCGUAAAGGGAGCGUAGGCGGACUUUUAAGUGAGAUGUGAAAUACCCGGGCUCAACUUGGGUGCUGCAUUUCAAACUGGAAGUCUAGAGUGCAGGAGAGGAGAAGGGAAUUCCUAGUGUAGCGGUGAAAUGCGUAGAGAUUAGGAAGAACACCAGUGGCGAAGGCGCUUCUCUGGACUGUAACUGACGCUGAGGCUCGAAAGCGUGGGGAGCAAACAGG